AGCGAACGCUGGCGGCAGGCCUAACACAUGCAAGUCGAACGAACUCUUCGGAGUUAGUGGCGGACGGGUGAGUAACACGUGGGAACGUGCCUUUAGGUUCGGAAUAACUCAGGGAAACUUGUGCUAAUACCGAAUGUGCCCUUCGGGGGAAAGAUUUAUCGCCUUUAGAGCGGCCCGCGUCUGAUUAGCUAGUUGGUGAGGUAAAGGCUCACCAAGGCGACGAUCAGUAGCUGGUCUGAGAGGAUGAUCAGCCACAUUGGGACUGAGACACGGCCCAAACUCCUACGGGAGGCAGCAGUGGGGAAUCUUGCGCAAUGGGCGAAAGCCUGACGCAGCCAUGCCGCGUGAAUGAUGAAGGUCUUAGGAUUGUAAAAUUCUUUCACCGGGGACGAUAAUGACGGUACCCGGAGAAGAAGCCCCGCCUAACUUCGUG
rnacentral:rRNA from 1 species